CAGGUUAGAAAAGGAGCACGUUGGCCGGGCUUGGUGGCUCACACCUGUAAUCCCAGCACUUUGGGAGGCCAAGGCGGGCAGGUCACCUGAGGUCAGGAGUUCGAGACCCGCCUGGCCAACACGGUGAAAACCCAUCUCU
rnacentral:sRNA from 1 species